UCAAAACCUAUAUAAACGUUUGGACAAAAUUAUUUUUUUCAUUAUGGUUAGGUUGUUUCGCAAAACCACAUGCAAAUAUGUUACUGUUCUUGGUUCGGACUAUGUUUCUAUUUGGUUAUUCAGUGGCUAUGUCAUCCCACGAUUUAAAGUGUUUUGUACACCCUCCUUCUGAACUUGCAGAAAUUCCAAGGCCGCAAGACAUUAAAUGGAUAGAUCCUGCAAAUAAAAUCAGAUAUAUUCGUUUAGUUAAUGAGGGUGUAAAUGUAAUGUGUUCCGAAAAGAUUGAGGAAAUCCAACUGUCUCAACUCUUUAAUAGUACUUUACCAAUUUUACCAUCGUCUAUAAAGCAGUACAGGUGUUCGGGGUGUCAAAACGGUAACCAAUAUGAUAGUGGGACUACAAGACAAUAUUUUUUCGUGCCAUGGAAAGCCAGCUUGAAAUAUUAUUUUUCCAACAACAAGUGUAUGGAAAGUAUGGAAAGUUUGAAUGACAGGGACUUUGCAGGCCGUUGUUACCACAUGUACUCUAUUGAGGUGCUAUCCGGAUGCAAAAUUAUAAAAUAAUAUAAUAUAUUAUAACAAAAUAAAAUUAUAAUGUGUAUUAUAAGUUCAGCAGUAAAGUAAAUAAAACUAAA